rnacentral:rRNA from 1 species
AACAUAUUACCGAAGCUGUGGAUUGUCCUUUGGACAAUGGUAGGAGAGCGUUCUAAGGGCGUUGAAGCAUGAUCGUAAGAACAUGUGGAGCGCUUAGAAGUGAGAAUGCCGGUGUGAGUAGCGAAAGACGGGUGAGAAUCCCGUCCACCGAUUGACUAAGGUUUCCAGAGGAAGGCUCGUCCGCUCUGGGUUAGUCGGGUCCUAAGCUGAGGCCGACAGGCGUAGGCGAUGGAUAACAGGUUGAUAUUCCUGUACCACCUAUAAUCGUUUUAAUCGAUGGGGGGGACGCAGUAGGAUAGGCGAAGCGUGCGAUUGGAUUGCACGUCUAAGCAGUAAGGCUGAGUAUUAGGCAAAUCCGGUACUCGUUAAGGCUGAGCUGUGAUGGGGAGAAGACAUUGUGUCUUCGAGUCGUUGAUUUCAC